rnacentral:lncRNA from 1 species
GCGGGCUUCAACCAUGGCUUCAACUGUGCAGAGGCCAUCAAUUUUGCCACUCCACGAUGGAUUGAUUAUGGCAAAGUGGCUUCACAGUGUAGCUGUGGGGAGGCGAGGGUGACCUUUUCCAUGGACGCCUUCAUGCGCAUCUUGCAACCAGAGAGCUAUGGGCUCUGAAAAUGCAGGUAUUUAUUUAUGUGAGCAAUGUGAGGAUGGACUAUUACAGUCACCUUACUCAUCCAAUCCAAGGAGAAAAGAAAUGGAGAAAUCUAAGAAGGAUAUGGAAAACUCAAACUACAUUAACAAUAAGGUAGAAUUGGUAUUCCAGAAGAUAGAAAAUACUCCCUCUCAGCUGGGCGCAGUGGCUCACUCCUGUAAUCCCAGCACUUUGGGAGAUGAAGGUGGGCAGAUCACAAGGUCAGGAGUUCGAGACCAGCCUGGCCAAUAUGGUGAAACCGCAUCUCUACUAAAAAUAGAAAAGUUAGCUGAACAUGGUGGUAUGCACCUAUAGUUCCAGCUACUGAGGAGGCUGAGCAGAAGAAUCGCUUGAACUGGAGAGGCAGAGGUUGCAGUGAACCGAGAUCACACCACUGCACUCUAGCCUGGGCCACAGAGUGAGACUCCAUCUGAAAAAAAAAAAAAAAUACAAAAAACUCCCUCUCUUCAGGUGCCAAAGAAUGAAUCACAAAAUAUGACCAUAUAUUAGGCGCUACGCCCAAGAUGCCAAGGCUGCCAUGGACAGGGAGGUGCUGGACGGAUGCUAGCUGAGGGUGCAGGUGGCGCACUAUGGCCGCCGCUGGGACGAGGCGCUGGGACCUGCCCCGCAGCCGCCAGGGAGUGCCACGUGGCAGGUCCGCGGGAUACACACCCUACUUGUCAACGCACCCUACUUGUACUUUGGCACAUGGAAGACCACGGAGGGCGGCGGCUACGGACGGCGCAGCUGCAGCUCUAGGGGGCGACACCGCAGCCGCAGCUCUAGGGGGCGACACCGCAGCCGCAGCUCUAGGGGGCGACACCGCAGCCGAUCCCGAGGUCCCAGCUGCUCCACGUCCAGCAGUCUCUGCUUACAGACGAUCUCGCUACAGCCGAUCUGCCUACAGGAUUCCUACUCCAGUAUCCAGGAGGGAAUCCAAAUCCAGGUCGCUAUCCAGGAGUCCUCCCAAGUCUGAAGGGGAAGGACAAGUAUCCUCCUAGGAAAAUGGUCAACAGCUAAAGCGUGAUAGAGGACUUGGGGAAAAGGACGGCACACUCAGUCCAUG